AUGCUUUAUUAAACUUUUAGCGUUUUAAUGCAUCCUGUUGCUUUCAGGCUGUCAUAGACUCAUUGAAACAUACGUAGGUGUAAUAAUGGCGUGAAGUGGCUUAUGAUAAUGUGAGAUAUAAGCGCAAGCAAUGCUAAUAUUGUGUGUUGCAAAAUUUUACAAAUGAUUUUAUACCUGGUGAAAAAAAAAAAAAACACUCAUACAAAAGAAAAAAGAAAACAUUUUCAAUCAAGGAAAUGUUCAAGACUUUUAGAAGUCUACCAACUUCCUGGGAAAAAAAAUAAGUAGUGCAUAAAAUGAAAAACUAUACUAUAUAUAUAAAUAAAUUCUACAUAUGUGUAAAAACUGUAAAUAAUGAUACUAAUAACUAAAUAACUAAUUAUAUUAAAACAAGAAUGCAUUUUACUGAAAAUAGAAACAUAUCACUACGGAUACAUUUAAUUUCAAUUUAAUAACAAACUUGACAGUUCCCGUGCCAGUCCUACACAUUGUUGUGAGGCACGGAGCAAAGGGAGGGAAUUGUUCGGCACAUUGCACAUUCUACACAUUCCAAGCCUAUUUUGUGUUGCCGUGAAGCCCACCCAGGGACUAGAGUGUUGCGUGACGUGCAGGAAGUGCCGGAGUGACGAGUGACAAGGCUGUGAGGAGUGACGCCAACUUGAGGACGAGGCAUGGAGAGGCCUCUUUUCUUAGGCGCUUCGUUCCCUCGUCAAGACUGUCUUCAAAGGCUGCGGAGAUUAUCAGUCAGGUUCUCACGGAUGCUGUCUCUCUCCUGAUGACUGUGCAGAGUAAUUGUUGAUCUGUGGCCGCAAUCUUGAAAACAAUCUUGGAAACCGUAUUUACUUCCACACAAGCCUGUAAUGGUGGUUGAGAUGGGGGAUCAAGGUCUGAUGGCUUCUUGCAACUUUUCUUAUUUAGUUUAUCCUUUUUUACUGCUACUUUCGUCUUUUGGUAACAUUCAGUUAAAGAAAUUAAAAAAAGAAAAAGAAAAAUUGAUAAGUGAAUGAAAUAAAUGAAGGGUUAAAUACAUAAGUCCAUAAAUAUAAGUAGAUAGAUGAAUUAAAUAAAAUGAAGUAAGAAAAUCAACAAAUAAACAUAUGAAAUUAUAAUGAUUAAAAAUACGAAUGAUUGGUUAAUAUUUGUCUCUCAGAAGUAGAAACGUAAACAAAACACAACAACAUAGCAAAUAAAUGUCCAAAUAACAGGUAAUAAAGGAAGAAAACAACAGCAGUGAGAGUAAACAGCACGUGCCUCAAGUGUCCCCGGUACAGACCAACAGCUCCCAUGCUCCAGUAUUUACAAACGCAGCUCUCUCACCACAUCUGUUUCCAAAGACCACGGAGAUCAUCACCCGGGUUCUGAAGACUUUUUCCUUUUAAUAAUGUAGAAAAUCUUGCAAAUCUUCCCUAAAACUGUAAAAAAAUCUUAUAAACUCGUGUAACUUCAAUAAGAAUCUAGUACUUUCUACCUUCCUUCCUCUUAUCUUACUUCUUCCAUUCUUGUUUCAUAUUCUUCCCUCCGCAUUUCAUCCUUUUAGUGUUUCUAUAGUAAAUCUUUCGCUAAAACGAUAAAAAAAAAAAGUAGUUUCAGUAAUAACGUUGUACUUUCUUUCUUCCUUCCUUCCAUAUUUCUCUUUCCUUUCACUCUUGUCUCAUAUUCUCCCCUCCGCAUUUCAUCCUUUUAGUGUUUCUUGUAAAUCUUUCCCUAAAACCGUAAAAAAGAAAAAAAAAAAGAAAAACCCGCGUAGCUUCAGUAAAAAUCUUGCACUUCCUUCCUUCCUUCCUUCCUUCCUCUCGUAUCUUCCUCUCAUCCAUUCUCGUCUCAUAUUCUUCCUUCUUCCGCAUUUCAUCCCCUUGGUAUUUCUUAUAAAACCCAAAACCGUAAAUAAACAAAAAAAAAAAAAUUAAAAA